GUGGGGAAUUUUGGACAAUGGGCGAAAGCCUGAUCCAGCCAUGCCGCGUGCAGGAUGAAGGCCUUCGGGUUGUAAACUGCUUUUGUACGGAACGAAACGGUCCGGGUUAAUACCCUGGGCUAAUGACGGUACCGUAAGAAUAAGCACCGGCUAACUACGUGCCAGCAGCCGCGGUAAUACGUAGGGUGCAAGCGUUAAUCGGAAUUACUGGGCGUAAAGCGUGCGCAGGUGGUUUUGUAAGUUGGAGGUGAAAUCCCCGGGCGCAACCUGGGAACUGCCUCCAAAACUACAUGACUAGAGUACGGUAGAGGGGGAUGGAAUUCCGCGUGUAGCAGUGAAAUGCGUAGAUAUGCGGAGGAACACCGAUGGCGAAGGCAGUCCCCUGGGCCUGUACUGACGCUCAUGCACGAAAGCGUGGGGAGCAAACAGGAUUAGAUACCCGUGUAGUCC
rnacentral:rRNA from 1 species